CGAUGAAUGUGUGGACAUAGGGCAGACCUGAGGGUUCUGCUCCAAUCCAAAUGCAGAAAGAGACCGCGUGGGUUCUUCGAGGAUGGAGGUCAUACACAAGCGCGUCCUCUUCCAAAACAGUUCAGUACACAGGGAGUAGUCAGCCAGUCCAGGUUAAUCCAGUUCAUUCACCCUGGAUUCCCGUCACUCCCGCCUGGCAACUUGAACCUCUCCCCCACGUCACGACAUCACCGGAUGUCCCCCUUGUCCAAUAAAUACUCACCUUGUCACGAUCUACCUUGCAUAGUUUACAUUUGGGUUCACACUGGAGUUGUGACACCAAUGCUGUUUACUGGACAUGUUAUUUUUUGCGUUUUGUGUUUUUAUUCUGAAGCGCAGAGG